rnacentral:sRNA from 1 species
GACCUUCAGGGGCCCGGGCGGCGGGCGCAGGCCCCUGCGGCGGCGGCGGCGGGAUGUUCGUGCAGGAGGACAAGAUCUUCGCGGGCAAGGUGCUGCGGCUGCACAUCUGCGCGUCCGACGGCGCCGAGUGGCUGGAGGAGGCCUCCGAGGACACCUCGGUGGAGAAGCUCAAGGAGCGCUGCCUCAAGCACUGUGCUCAUGGUAGCUUAGAAGAUCCCAAAAGUAUAACCCAUCAUAAAUUAAUCCACGCUGCCUCAGAAAGGGUGCUGAGUGAUGCCAGGACCAUCUUGGAAGAGAACAUCCAGGACCAAGAUGUCCUAUUAUUGAUAAAAAAGCGUGCUCCAUCACCACUUCCCAAGAUGGCUGAUGUCUCAGCAGAAGAAAAGAAAAAACAAGACCAGAAAGCUCCAGAUAAAGAGGCCAUACUCCGGGCCACCGCCAACCUGCCCUCCUACAACAUGGACCGGGCCGCAGUCCAGACCAACAUGAGAGACGUGAGUGUCAGCCCAGAGCGGUGGCAGGCGCAUAGGGUCCCCGUGUGGGGGAUUGCUGUGGGGGGUUCCGCGGGGCGGGGGAGCAGGAGGAGAUUCUCUGGAACGAUUUGGGGAAGCCAGUGAGCGGGUCUAUAGGACUGCACUAUUUUGCAUUUUUUCUGUAAAUCAAAAAUUAUUUUCAAGUAAGAGUUGGAAAGCCAUCUGAAGGCAGGACUGAAAAGAUAGAUACCCCUGGGAAAACGUCAGUCCGGCCCUGAGUUUGGCAAAAAUGUUUAGAUAGA